rnacentral:rRNA from 1 species
ACAAGUAAAGAAGGGCGUUGGGUGAAUGCCUUGGCACUAUAUGACGAAGAAGGACGUGACUACCUGCGAAAAGCUGCGACGAGUUGGAAGUGAACAAAGACUCGCAGAUAUCCGAAUGGGGGAACCCACUGCAAGUAACGUUGCAGUAUCCACUGAUGAAACAAAUAGUCAGUGAGAAGGAAGACCUAGGGAAGUGAAACAUCUAAGUACCUAGAGGAAAAGAAAGAGAAAUCGAUUCUCCAAGUAGCGGCGAGCGAACGGGGAGGAGCCCAAACCGUAGGAAUACGGGGUUUAGGACCUCAAGAAGUGAAUGCGUUGUUGUAGACGAAUCAUUUGAAAGAUGAACCAAAGAUGGUGAAAGUCCAGUAGUUGAAACGACAGAAUGCAGCGAGAGGGAUCCAGAGUACGGCGAGACACGAGGAAUCUAGUCGGAAGAUACGCAGACCACUGCGAAAGGCUAAAUACAAGAUAGUGACCGAUAGUGAACCAGUACCGUGAGGGAAAGGUGAAAAGAACCCCGGGAGGGGAGUGAAAAGAAUCUGAAACCUGAUGCCUACAAGAAGUCAGAGGGCGUUCAAGCCUGAUGGCGUGCCUAUUGAAGAAGGAACCGGCGAGUUAUGCUAUCGUGCGAGGUUAAGUAGGAGAUACGGAGCCGAAGCGAAAGCGAGUCUUAAGAGGGCGAGAAGUACGAUAGGAUAGACCCGAAACCAGACGAUCUAGCCAUGAUCAGGUUGAAGCGAUGGUAACACAUCGUGGAGGACCGAACCAACUUUCGUUGAAACGACAGUGGAUGAAUUGUGGCUAGGGGUGAAAUUCCAAUCGAGUUUGGAAAUAGCUGGUUCUCCCCGAAAUAGCUUUAGGGCUAGCCUUGUGGAAAGAGCUAUGGAGGUAGAGCACUGAAUGAAUGAGGGCCCCAUCCAGGGGUACCGAUUUCAAUCAAACUCCGAAUGCCAUAGAGAAGAUACACAGGAGUCAGACUGUGGGGGAUAAGCUCCAUGGUCAAGAGGGAAACAGCCCAGACCAACAGAUAAGGUCCCAAAAUACAUGCUAAGUGUAAAAGGGAGUGAUAUUGCGCAGACAACUAGGAGGUUAGCUCAGAAGCAGCUAUCCUUAAAAGAGUGCGUAACAGCUCACUAGUCGAGUGACAUUGCACCGAAGAUUUACCGGGGCUAAGCAUGAUACCGAAGCAUUGGACUCUGAGGAGUGGUAGGGGAGCGUUGUAGGAGCGGCGAAGUCAUACUGAAAGGAAUGGUGGAGCGACUACAAGAGAGAAUGCCGGUGUGAGUAACGAAUAGAGGUGAGAAUCCUCUACACCGAAUGACAAAGGAUUCCUGGGGAAAGGUUCGUCCGCCCAGGGUAAGUCGGGGCCUAAGGCGAGGCCGAGAGGCGUAGUCGAUGGAAAACUGGUUGAAAUUCAGUACCGAUUAUAGGGAGAAGGAGAGACGGAGAUGGUAAGUUGUGCCGGUUAAUGGAUUCCGGUCGAAACGGAGCAGCUGGUAGGGAAGGCAAAUCCACCUACAGGAAGCAGGCCGUGACAGGGAGCGAACGGGAAACCAAGUAGUGAAGACAAUGUAGACAGCUUCCAAGAAAAUCUUCUAUCGAGAACUUAUAAUUGCCCGUACCGAGAACGAACACACGUGGUCAAGGAGAGAAUCCUAAGGUGAGCGAGACAACUGUUGCUAAGGAACUCUGCAAAAUCACCCCGUAAGUUAGCAAGAAGGGGAGCUCGAGAGAGCCGCAGUGAAAAGGCCUAGGCGACUGUUUAACUAAAACACAGCUCUAUGCUAAGCCGAAAGGCGAUGUAUAUGGGGUGACGCCUGCCCAGUGCUGGAAGGUUAAGGGGACGUGUUAGGAGCAAUCCGAAGCAUGGAACCGAAGCCCCAGUGAACGGCGGCCGUAACUAUAACGGUCCUAAGGUAGCGAAAUUCCUCGUCAGGUAAAUUCUGACGCGCACGAAUGGCGUAACGAUCUAGGCGCUGUCUCAGCAACAGGCUCGGUGAAAUCUAAAUACCUGUGAAGAUGCAGGUUACCCGCGACUAGACGGAAAGACCCCAUGGAGCUUUACUAUAACUUGAUAUUGGGAUGUUGCUAUUGAUGUACAGGAUAGGUGGGAGACGAAGAAGUGAAGGCGUCAGCCUUGAUGGAGUCAACGUUGGGAUACCACUCUUCAAUAGUGACGUUUCUAACCUAGGCCGUGAAGCCGGUCACAGGGACAGUGUCAGGCGGGUAGUUUGACUGGGGCGGUCGCCUCCUAAAGAGUAACGGAGGCGCCCAAAGGUACCCUCAGUAUGGAUGGAAAUCAUACAACGAGUGCAAAGGCAAAAGGGUGCUUGACUGUGAGACAAACAAGUCGAACAGGGACGAAAGUCGGGCUUAGUGAUCCGGCGGUGCUGAGUGGAAAGGCCGUCGCUCAACGGAUAAAAGCUACCCUGGGGAUAACAGGC